CUUUUGUGCAAUCCAAGUUGGCCUGCCUGUGACCUGCUGUCUGUCACCUGCUCCGUUGGAUUCAGGAUGGCACCGUGGUGCUACUGUUUCCUCUGCCUCCUGAUCAGGAGUCUCUCUGGGACCCCCUCCAACUCCCCAGGUGAAUCAAGGAACCCUUGGGCCCCAGGCCCUGCGAGGAACGCUUCACUGGUUUCCUUCUCAUUCCUGCCAUUGUGCAGAUGACGAAAAGAGCUCUGCAAGAGGACAGGACUCAGCAGGCCAUAGACAUGGCCGGGUUCAGCCCCAUCCAGCCCGAAUGACUCCAAGCCCAGUGUCCUUAGCUCCUCCCAGCCCUGGAAGAGUCAGGUGCCCACAAAAUGCACCCCCCACCGUCUCUCUUAUCGUUUUUAGCCCCCGUGGCCCCCGGCGAGGUGGUGAAGACUGCAGGUGGGGUGUGCAAGUUCUCUGGACAGCGACUGAG
rnacentral:sRNA from 1 species